rnacentral:rRNA from 1 species
AGAGUUUGAUCCUGGCUCAGGACGAACGCUGGCGGCGUGCUUAACACAUGCAAGUCGAACGGAACACCCCAUGACAGAGGUUUCGGCCAAUGAAGAGGAAUGUUUAGUGGCGGACUGGUGAGUAACGCGUGAGGAACCUGCCUUUCAGAGGGGGACAACAGUUGGAAACGACUGCUAAUACCGCAUGAAGCAGCGGGGGGGACACCCCCUUGCUGUCAAAGAUUUAUCGCUGAAAGAUGGCCUCGCGUCUGAUUAGAUAGUUGGUGAGGUAACGGCCCACCAAGUCGACGAUCAGUAGCCGGACUGAGAGGUUGACCGGCCACAUUGGGACUGAGAUACGGCCCAGACUCCUACGGGAGGCAGCAGUGGGGAAUAUUAGGCAAUGGACGCAAGUCUGACCCAGCAACGCCGCGUGAAGGAAGAAGGCUUUCGGGUUGUAAACUUCUUUUAACAGGGAAGAGAAGAAGACGGUACCUGUUGAAUAAGCCACGGCUAACUACGUGCCAGCAGCCGCGGUAAUACGUGGGUGGCAAGCGUUGUCCGGAUUUACUGGGUGUAAAGGGCGUGUAGCCGGGAAGGCAAGUCAGAUGUGAAAUCUGGAGGCUCAACCUCCAAACUGCAUUUGAAACUGCUUUUCUUGAGUAUCGGAGAGGUAAUCGGAAUUCCUUGUGUAGCGGUGAAAUGCGUAGAUAUAAGGAAGAACACCAGUGGCGAAGGCGGAUUACUGGACGACAACUGACGGUGAGGCGCGAAAGCGUGGGGGAGCAAACAGGAUUAGAUACCCUGGUAGUCCACGCUGUAAACGAUCAAUAACUAGGUGGUGGCGGGGACUGACCCC